rnacentral:tRNA from 1 species
GGUGGCUCAGUGGUACAGCGCUUGCCUUGCAAGCAUGAGGCCCUGGGUUCAAUUCCUCAGCACCA